UUGCUUUCGGUUGAAUACUAGCUAGCAACGACUAUCAGCACUGAACACAUAUUUUUAACCGAUAAUCUAAUCAAUUUUAUAUAAAAGUGGCUAAUUUUAAGUACCAUCUUUAUUGGCAUUGUUUAUAAAAUAAGGUUUCAAUAAAAAAUGUCAACAAUUUCCACUAAGUUUAUUUCUUUACAUGGUAACUACCCAUUUGCUACAUAUUAAAACAUUUUUAUAAAGGGGUAUAUGUGUACUUUUCAAAAUUGUUGGCCCGUUCUUUUCCAUAUAAGCCCCAUGGAAGCGCCAGUGUGAAAAACCCCCGUUAUGCAUAUUUUUACAUUCCUUUUUUUUAUAUUUUUGAAAACAUUGAGAUUUUGAUGGCAAGUGAUCAAGAUUUCGAUGAUUUCCCGCAUUAAUAAUCGAUGUGGCUCUAAAUUGCA